rnacentral:rRNA from 1 species
CGUAGUAGGUGUGUGUGUCCGGCCGGGUGCGUGUUGGUGGUCCAGGAGGAGCGGCGAGGGGAUUAAGCUUCGCGGCCCGCCAGGGAGGAGGCGCGAGGGACUAGUUCGGCUCAGCGGAGCUCCGGAGCUGUGGCUGCCCAAGGUCCGAGCUAACCCCAACCCAAGUCACUACCGCCGGAGCAGGUCCUUCCUCCUCCUCUCCUUGCUCGCCUAGCACUCCCCGGAGGAGUUCGACGGCGGGUUGGCGUCUACGUAGUUGACGUUGCGGUAGCCCGGCGUCAUGCAGACGUGCUCGAAGACCUGUAAGUAGACGUAGAGGACGUCGCCGUAGGUGGCACUCAAGUGCGUGGCUCAUUUUAGCCACAGAUACAGGUUCAAGUGGCACGUUCUCCAACUCCGGGAAGUUUUCCCACCCUUGGUCGCUCGGUCUCUUAAUAACAACUUCCUAAAACUAUGGGUCGUUUACUCCCAUGGACUAUCGUCAUUGUAACUUUCGGAAUCUCUUAAGUAUUUACGACAAAUACACCUCUCUUCUAUACGACCACAUUCAAACAGGCUUUCCGGAGGUUCUCUAUAUGUCUAAGUUUCUAGGGUACUUCUCCUUGUAUCUUCCCGAUCAAGGAUAGUGAGUAAAAGAGUCUCGGGUGGAUUACUGAUGGUUAUACUUCUUUCCGCGUUAGCGUUCGUUGGACGUUACGAUUCAUCCUUUGGAUCAAGUCUGGCUCCCGUACUACCCUUCUACGGACCUAAAAGAACAGCAAGUGUAUCGGACGUUCUCUCUUACAGGCUCCUGGUUAAACGUUUACUCUCAGCACCUGGCUCUUGAAGACUGACGAGUCCCAGUUCGUACGCACCAUGGAAUCCUUGUCGUGGGUUUAGUGGACUAAAGAAGCUACUACCCACAAAUUCGGGAGGACAGGUUGUUUUAGUUAGUUUAUACGACUCAAGAUUACCGUAGUGAGUUAGGGUCUCUUGACGUAGUUGUCCCUUGUAUCUAAGGUGUAGCGAAUUCAGUCCGUUGAGUUCGAAUCGACUAAACAAAAAACUAAAACUCUUACAAGUGGCUUGAGUCGUUAGGUUGUUAAGACGUCGAGGUUCAAAACAUCGGAAAAGACGACGACAUUUACCAUGUUUUCUCCUAGAGAUGUCAGUCGGUUUAAACGUCGUUGUUGGAUAUUGACCGAUAGGUAGACAUCUAAAUAAACGUUUAUACGGAGUAUGUCGAAGUAGACGACUAUUUUACGGUGACCUUCGAGUAGGUAGACAUCUAAACAAACGUUUAUACGGAGUAUGUCGAAGUAGACGACUAUUUCACGGUGACCUUCGAGGUAGUUACCCGUUACGACCCACCCGAUGUAAACUGUGCGGGGGUCUAUUUGUCGGACCUCAGUGACCAGGGAGAGGACAUCGACUGCAUCCAUUAGUAUUUGUCUAAGACCCAGCACUAAACAAAAGCAAGCUUUGUUGACUAUCUGGUUGUAACAAGGACUGAAGGUUCGUGCUUCAAAGUUAGUCGUUAGUCAGACCACGAUGUAGAGAACUAUGUCCAACGAGAGUCAAUACCGUAAGUAAACUACUACGUUGACCCUAGUAGAGAUUACUAGUGAGACCACGACUCGGUGAUUCAUUACUCGAGUGUUUACAUCAGCUACAAUGGUUGUUAGGAAAAUCAACGGGAUAAUCAAGUUUCUUUAGAGUACCACUACUAACGGUAUUACACAAGUACCUACUUAAUCGAGAUUCACGUAGUAAACGAGGAAAGGAUCUCGGUAGAGGUUAUAGACUACAAGGAAGUCCUUUUGGGAAACGACUAGUCUAACACGAUUUAGGUAAACUAGAGGGGAAACCAUGACUAAGUCUCCGAUGAUUAGACAAGUACCUGUACUCGUGCGACGUUCGACGAAACGGAUUAAAUGGUUAUUGAAAAGAACUACCAAACGGACUUAGUACCAAGAGGUUGUUAUGAACAUGGAUACAAGGCAGACCUAGUGUACCACCUAAUUGUACAGAACAGCUCGUCCGGGGUUUGAGAGGUAACUCCUUGUAUUGUAACUCGUGACAUAGAUGACCGUUAGGAAAACGUAUCUCUUUCCUAAGCCGAACCUUUAGCUGUACCGAAACACGACGAACCUGAACACUUUUCUCGUGGACAAGGAACCCAAGUGACUUGAACAUACAUCGUCUAUGUCUAUCCCUCGAGCACUUCCGGUAAGACGUCUCUGAGCCUAUAGAUACCAAACCAACUGUCACGUGUAAAACACGGGGAACGGAGAACCUCAAGCCCUUGGGAACGACCACCGACACUGCUGCUACUGUCCACCACUACGAUUGCAAAAAAAAAACCGCCCCCCACUACGAUUGCAAUCAUACAAAACUUAGUCUUACUAGCUUAGGAAAGUUGCUACCAAUGUACAGGGGAAAAUAUAGAGGGCUUCUCUGUGCUGCUAGGGAGCUCCUCCGCAGCCAAGGUCCUCUAGCUUCCCUCCGCAGCCAACGCCCUGUUUGGCGUUGCUACCAAACCCGUUCCCCUCUAAAAGGGGAUUAAUGUCUUAAUAAAAAUUGUGAGGGGGAUUAGAUGCGAACUGGUACAUCUAGUAGAAGUGCUAACAGGCCCUUCGAGAUAGUAGAGUUUUCUAAGAGGAAGUUUUCAAGAAGUAUUUUAGAAACUACUCCAGGACUUUUUAUAUGAGUGUUUCUUUCUAUCGUAUUAUACUACAGUAAUUUUACUCCUAUAGAGUUCUUCUCUGAGGGAGACUGUGGACGUUCAGGGAUUCAGAAGCGUAUGGUUAAGGUACUUGUGUAAAGACCUUACAUCUUAAACCAUCUCUGAACCAUUUAUUUAGUCGUUCCAACAGCGUACUAAACUGAACGUCUUACGAAUAAAGGGGCGAAAAGACUUCUAAUACCCCUUUCUUGGUAAAUCCUCUUUAUACGAACCACUAUAAUGAGAAACGUAGACGCGUUGUGUUCGACGUAAUAGAAGUAUCUAUUACCAUCCACUAAAAUAGCUUGGGUAAGGUGUACUGACAACAUACACCAAAUAGUAAGACGCUUCGGUAUGUGUAAGCGUACAACGAAGUUUAUUACUUUAAUAAAGUCUUACUAACCAUCUACAACGGUGGUCUCAGACAAAGCUUCUGAAGGUACUAUAUCGUCAUGGUGGUACAUCCUUGUGUUUCGGCC